GAUGAACGCUGGCGGCGUGCCUAAUACAUGCAAGUCGAGCGAACAGACGAGGAGCUUGCUCCUCUGACGUUAGCGGCGGACGGGUGAGUAACACGUGGAUAACCUACCUAUAAGACUGGGAUAACUUCGGGAAACCGGAGCUAAUACCGGAUAACAUGUUGAACCGCAUGGUUCAACAGUGAAAGACGGUUUUGCUGUCACUUAUAGAUGGAUCCGCGUCGCAUUAGCUAGUUGGUAAGGUAACGGCUUACCAAGGCAACGAUGCGUAGCCGACCUGAGAGGGUGAUCGGCCACACUGGAACUGAGACACGGUCCAGACUCCUACGGGAGGCAGCAGUAAGGAAUCUUCCGCAAUGGGCGAAAGCCUGACGGAGCAACGCCGCGUGAGUGAAGAAGGUCUUCGGAUCGUAAAACUCUGUUAUUAGGGAAGAACAAAUGUGUAAGUAACUAUGCACGUCUUGACGGUACCUAAUCAGAAAGCCACGGCUAACUACGUG
rnacentral:rRNA from 1 species